rnacentral:rRNA from 1 species
UACGAAGGGGGCUAGCGUUGUUCGGAAUUACUGGGCGUAAAGCGCACGUAGGCGGAUUUGUUAGUCAGGGGUGAAAUCCCGGGGCUCAACCUCGGAACUGCCUUUGAUACUGCAAAUCUCGAGUCCGGAAGAGGUGAGUGGAAUUCCUAGUGUAGAGGUGAAAUUCGUAGAUAUUAGGAAGAACACCAGUGGCGAAGGCGGCUCACUGGUCCGGUACUGACGCUGAGGUGCGAAAGCGUGGGGAGCAAACAGG